rnacentral:rRNA from 1 species
GCCAGCAGCCAUAUCACCCUGCAACUCACAAGUGGCCACCCACUGAAGCUCAGGAGAUGUGAGCCCGGUCAGUACCUGGAGGAGAGACCUCCUGGGAAAAACUAAGGUUGCCGCUGGCC